GACGAACCGUGCGAACGUUGUUCGGAAUCACUGGGCUUAAAGGGCGCGUAGGCGGGCCUUCAAGUCCGGGGUGAAAUCCUCCAGCCUAACUGGAGAAGAGCCUCGGAGACUGAGGGCCUCGAGGAGGGUAGGGGCAAGCGGAACUAUGGGUGGAGCGGUGAAAUGCAUUGAUAUCCAUAGGAACUCCGGUGGCGAAGGCGAGUCUCUGGACAAUACCUGACACUGAGGCACGGAAGCCAAGGGAGCAAACAGG
rnacentral:rRNA from 1 species